GACAAAUUGCAACCUGUACGGAACAGGAGGUUAAAGGUGCUGAUUCUCCAAGGAGGGAGAUUGCUAGUAAAGCGGCUGGAAUGGCCAACCCGAGCACAAGGAGAUGAGAAAUGAGGACAAAUUGCCACCUGUACGGAACAGGAGGUUAAAGGUGCUGAUUCUCCAAGGAGGGAGAUUGCUAGUAAAGCGGCUGGAAUGGCGAACCCGAGCACAAGGAGAUGAGAAAUGAGAAAUCCAGGAGCUGAAAGAGAGGUAUCAUUUUCAAUGGAAAAUCAUUCAAAACAAGAUUGAACCUUCAGCCAAGAUUAGUAGAUCCACAUCCUUGGAAAGAAAUCACUGCAUUUCUCUAAUGUUGGCCUGACAAA